rnacentral:rRNA from 1 species
UACAGAGGGUGCAAGCGUUACUCGGAAUUACUGGGCGUAAAGCGUGCGUAGGUGGUUUGUUAAGUCUGAUGUGAAAGCCCUGGGCUCAACCUGGGAACGGCAUUGGAAACUGGCUUACUAGAGUGCGGUAGAGGGGUGUGGAAUUCCCGGUGUAGCAGUGAAAUGCGUAGAUAUCGGGAGGAACAUCUGUGGCGAAGGCGACACCCUGGACCAGCACUGACACUGAGGCACGAAAGCGUGGGGAGCAAACAGG